AUGCAGAUGAAUAUGAUCGGAGUGGAAGAAGAAUCAAGAACUUAUAUUUAUACCAUGAGGUCUAUGAAAAAUAAUAAACUUGCUGAGGAGAAAACACAUGAUGUCAUUGCGUCGCUUUCGAAUCACCGGGACAAAGUGGACACCAUCAUGACAGUGUCAUUGACAAUAGCCACACUACAGCAUCAUGCGCCGCUCUUCCUUGACCAUAAUCCUCCCUCGAUAUGGAGAGAGGUGAUUCUGAACAUAGCUUCCAAGCCUUCAUGGCGGGGACAUCAACAGACAAUACUAUGCAUUUGUUUAGGUUCUCUGCUACUCACUAUUUGA
rnacentral:rRNA from 1 species